AUGAUACAGGUUGGUGAGGUGAUGAUACAGGUUGGUGAGGUGAUGAUGCAUGUUGGUGAGGUGAUGAUACAGGUUGGUGAGGUGAUGAUGCAUGUUAGUGAGGUGAUGAUACAUGCUGGUGAGGUGAUGAUACAGGUUGGUGAGGUGAUGAUACAGAUUGGUGAAGUGAUGAUACAUUUUGGUGAGGUAAUGAUACAGGUUGGUGAGGUGAUGAUGCAGGCUGGUGAGGUGAUGAUACAUGCUGGUGAGGUGAUGAUGCAGGCUGGUGAGG